CGCGUACCCUCCGCGUCUCGGCCGGGCUUCCUGCCUCUCGAGCCGCGUCCACGUCCUCCCGUGGACGGGAUGGACGCGGUGGUGCCCUGCGCCCCUCCGGGCUCUCGGUUAUGAGUAUGAUGCUUCCAUAUACGUUUGGAUGUUUUCAGCUAAGUUCACUUCUGAACUGUGGGGCUCCUCCAAGUGUUGACUGAAAUCUGUCCUUGAGCAUCCCCACGCUCAUCUAAUCUACAGUCCAUAAUGGAGCCACUGUACUGGCUUUUGGAAGGAGGAGAUUCUGAAGAUAGGGAGGAAAUUUGUUGAGAGCUGGACUACAUCUCAAGAUCCCUCCAAGUCUAAAGAAGAUGCCACAAAUACCAUCAACUACAAAAUGAAAGGAAUAUGCGUCCAGUGGUGGAUUUUUGCAGACUUUAGCAGGUUCUGGAUUUUUAAUAUCCAGGCUCUACCCUUCCACCAUGCUUAUCCUUCAGGAAUGUGCUGGAC
ensembl:lncRNA